UACAGAGGGUGCAAGCGUUAAUCGGAAUUACUGGGCGUAAAGGGUGCGUAGGCGGCGCGGUAAGUCGGGUGUGAAAUCUUGGAGCUUAACUCCGAAACUGCAUUCGAUACUGCCGUGCUUGAGGACUGGAGAGGAGACUGGAAUUUACGGUGUAGCGGUGAAAUGCGUAGAUAUCGUAAGGAAGACCAGUGGCGAAGGCGGGUCUCUGGACAGUUCCUGACGCUGAGGCACGAAGGCCAGGGGAGCAAACGGG
rnacentral:rRNA from 1 species